AUUGAACGCUGGCGGCAGGCUUAACACAUGCAAGUCGAGCGGGGGAAGGUAGCUUGCUACCUAACCUAGCGGCGGACGGGUGAGUAAUGCUUAGGAAUCUGCCUAUUAGUGGGGGACAACAUUUCGAAAGGGAUGCUAAUACCGCAUACGCCCUAAGGGGGAAAGCAGGGGAUCUUCGGACCUUGCGCUAAUAGAUGAGCCUAAGUCGGAUUAGCUAGUUGGUGGGGUAAAGGCCUACCAAGGCGACGAUAUGUAGCGGGUCUGAGAGGAUGAUCCGCCACACUGGGACUGAGACACGGCCCAGACUCCGACGGGAGGCAGCAGUGGGGAAUAUUGGACAAUGGGGGGAACCCUGAUCCAGCCAUGCCGCGUGUGUGAAGAAGGCCUUUUGGUUGUAAAGCACUUUAAGCGAGGAGGAGGCUACCGAGAUUAAUACUCUUGGAUAGUGGACGUUACUCGCAGAAUAAGCACCGGCUAACUCUGUGCCAGCAGCCGCCGCAGUAA
rnacentral:rRNA from 1 species